ensembl:lncRNA LINC02299 long intergenic non-protein coding RNA 2299
UUUCAGGAAGCCAGGGCGAGGAACUUGGAUUCCAAAGCCUAGAGAAAGAUUGGCUGUGAAAGCGACACGGGCUCUGUGGGAAGAGAAGUAAGGAGGACUUCUGGGAAGGAAACGAGGUUCUCGGAUGAGCAGGGGCUGUGAUAUGAAAGUGAUCAAGAGAUGGGACCAUCUAGUUGCAAGAGAACAAGCUCAGGGCUCCCCCUGAUUCUACAUGAUGGCAGUGUGGGACGGCCAUAUCCCUGGCUUUGGAGAAGAUGCACCUGAAUUCAAACAUUGCACCUCCAUGUAUGUGACCCUGAGCAGCUGAUUUAACCUCUUUGGUAUUUGUCUUCACUUUCAAAGAGCGUAAAGUGAAAGAAAGGAGGAAGUCCACACCCUUGGGUUUGGGGGCAUCGGAUCCAGUGUGCAAUGUGAGAAGUAAAAUGAAGAGGAGAAAUGAUCUAGAGAGACUUUCUGAUGAAGCAAACACCAGAUAUCCUAGAAUUUCAGCAAAUCUAAGACUCCGUCAAGUGUUAGAUGCCCCAUUAUUUUAUGUAUUAUUAAUAAAGAAAAAAACACUGCCAAUUAUAAUUGGCAUUGAUUGAAAG